rnacentral:sRNA from 1 species
GGCAGGCCGCCGCCCAAUCGUCGAAAGGCGAGCCGGGGAACCAGGUAGUUGGGGUGAAUCCGCAUUUUGCGGUAGGGGUACUUCCGUCCCGAACCCGUCAGCUAACUCGGUCGGCGGUGACUAGGAAGGAUUG